UACGUAGGGCGCAAGCGUUGUCCGGAAUUAUUGGGCGUAAAGAGCUCGUAGGCGGCCUGUUGCGUCCGCUGUGAAAUCCCGGGGCUCAACCCCGGGCCUGCAGUGGAUACGGGCUGGCUAGAGGCAGGCAGGGGAGAACGGAAUUCCUGGUGUAGCGGUGAAAUGCGCAGAUAUCAGGAGGAACACCGGUGGCGAAGGCGGGUCUCUGGGCCGAUACUGACACUGAGGAGCGAAAGCGUGGGGAGCAAACAGG
rnacentral:rRNA from 1 species